rnacentral:rRNA from 1 species
UUUUUAUGAGAGUUUGAUCCUGGCUCAGGACGAACGCUGGCGGCGUGCCUAAUACAUGCAAGUCGAACGCUUCUUUUUCCACCGGAGCUUGCUCCACCGGAAAAAGAGGAGUGGCGAACGGGUGAGUAACACGUGGGUAACCUGCCCAUCAGAAGGGGAUAACACUUGGAAACAGGUGCUAAUACCGUAUAACAAUCGAAACCGCAUG